rnacentral:rRNA from 1 species
GACGAACGCUGGCGGCGUGCUUAACACAUGCAAGUCGAACGGACAGGCCCCGAUUUUGCGUCGUGGAUGUGAGGAGCGGAGGGGAGAAUAACACGAGUAUACCCUACCUUUAAGUCUGAGAUCACUACGAGAAAGCGGAUCUAAUACCGGAGAAGCUUCUGCACCGUGGGGGUGGAAAGUGAAAGACGGUCGUGGGGGCAGUUAUAGAUGGUUCCCCGCUUGAUUAGGUAGUUGGUAAGGUAACGGCUUACGAAGGCUUUGAUGGAUAGCCGGCCUGAGAGGGUGACCGGCGACAUUGGGCCUGAGAUACGGACCAGAAUGCUACGGGAGGCAGCAGUGGGGAAUAUUGCACAGUGGGGGGAAGCCUGAUGCAGCAACGCCGCGUGCGGGAUGACGGCCUUUGGGUGGUAAACCGAUUUCGCCUGUGACGAAGCGUGAGUGACGGUAAUUGGUAAAGAAGCACCGGCUAACUACGUG